GGCAGAUUCCUCUAUUCCUUCCACUCAUUAUAGUCUUUGGAAGUUCUUGCUUUCUCGCCCUUACUGAUCAGCUAUGGAACAGAUCAAGCACACCCAUGUUCAAGUAAGAGGACUAAGACUACAUGUGGCAGAGAUUGGCACUGGUACUAAGGUGGUGUUGUUCCUUCAUGGAUUCCCAGAAAUCUGGUAUACAUGGAGGCACCAGAUGGUUGCUGUUGCAGAAGCUGGCUACAGAGCAAUAGCUAUUGAUUUCAGGGGCUAUGGACUCUCUGAUCAGCCACCUGAGCCAGAGAAAGGGACCUUAAUGGACCUUGUUGAUGAUGUUGUUGCCCUUCUUGACACUCUUGGCAUCAGUAAGGUUAGUGGGCAUUCCACAAAAUUCCUUCUUUUCUCGAAUUUUUUGUUCACUGCACAAGUAGUAAUCUUGGUAAAAUUAGUGAUCAAUUGCCCAAGAUAUCUGGUUCUUGGAUCCAAUACAUGCAAAGGUCAUCUAGAGAACAUAUAUAGGUGCACACUGUCAUCACACUUGCCAGAUUUUGUAAAUUAAAUUAAAAAAUUUAGUAUAUGUGUGUUUAUCAUUAGUUUACAAAUUUCAUAAAUGGGUUUGCCAUGGGGUCAAUAUCUAAUCCACUUUGCAGAAAAUCUACCUGAUGUCGUCUAUGUUUUGGUAGCAGGUUUUUCUAGUUGGCAAGGAUUUUGGGGCUUUGCCAAUAAGCCUAUUAGCUGCCCUUCACCCGGACAGGGUGUCUGCUUUUGUAACUCUUGGUGUUCCUUUCAUGCUACCUGGUGCUAAUGCUGUCCAAAAUCAUCUCAUGCCAAAAGGUUUCUACAUAACAAGGUGGCAGGAGCCAGGGAGAGCUGAAGCAGAUUUUGGCCGGUUAGAUGUUAAGACAGUGAUAAGAAAUAUUUACAUUCUUUUCUCUGGGGUUGAGACACCAGUAGCAGGAGAUGACCAGGAGAUCAUGGACUUGGUUGAUCCUUCUACUCCUUUACCACCAUGGUUUUCUGAGGAAGAUCUAGCAGUUUAUGCAUCUCUUUAUGAGAAGUCCGGAUUUCGUUAUCCUUUGCAGGUUCCAUAUAGGAGCUUAGUAAUAGAUAGUGGAAUAACUUGUCCAAAAGUCAAAUGUCCAGCAUUGUUCAUCAUGGGUGAGAAGGACUACGUCCUGAAGUUUGUAGGUAUGGAGGAUUACAUAAGAAGUGGACAAGUGAAGAAUUUUGUGCCUGAAUUGAGUAUCUUAUUCUUGGAGGAAGGUAGUCAUUUUGUUCAUGAACAACUUCCAGAGCAAGUGAAUGCGAUUCUCAUCGACUUCCUCAACAAACAUAGUAAUUGAAGUUGAUGUUCUGUGAGCACCUCAAGUUUGGUAAUAGUUUCCAUUUGAGAAAAUAAAGUUCCCUUGUAUGCGUCUUUUGAGUUGCUUGAUGUUGAUGUAAUAUGUUUGGAGACAUGAAUUUCCCUUUUAUUUUUAUCUCUAAUGCUUAGUUAAACAACAUGAAAAUUGAUAAAAUGAUUAGUGUAGGGCUAACUUCCUGAGAAUAACAAUUUGAUUGAUCCUUCUACUCUACCUUCACACACUUGCAUAUAAAUUAUUGGAGGUAUAGGCGAAAUCUACAUCUAUUUAUCAAUAUGCAUGACACGAUCAGCAAGACGAUAAAGGUACGGUGGAGAGAUUUUCAACCUCCUAACAAAUGGCAUUAUUAUUCACCUCAAGUUCUUUUCAAUCAGAUCCUUUUGAUCCCAUGAUCUGCUGCGUAAGAGGGAAGGAUUAGGAACAUACUUCAAAUGGGACAAAGGCUUCACCAAAGCCGAAUACACCAUCAAACCAAAUUGCAAGAAAGCUUUGUUGAAGACGACAGCCACAAGAAAUUUGAAGGAGAUCAAGAAGGCAAUGGAUGUGUCAUGAAUAACUUUUUCCCCACCAAAUCGAAGAGCUUUGAUAUGAUUAGUUCCCCAAUGGUUAAAGAUUGCUGACAGCUUGUGCAUAAAUAAGACACUUUCCUAUUCAACAAACUGAAUUUCCACAUUCUGAUU
rnacentral:misc_RNA from 1 species